rnacentral:tRNA from 2 species
UCUUCGUUAGUAUAACGGUUAGUAUAUCCGCUUCUCACGCGGGUGAUCUGGGUUCGAUUCCCAGACGGAGAA